GCCUCUGAGGAUGAUUAAAUCAAACUUUCGUUCUUCUGAAAUAAUCCAUGUGGAAACCUUUUGGAGGCCUGAACUGAAGAGGC